GACGAACGCUGGCGGCGUGCUUAACACAUGCAAGUCGAACGGAAAGGCCCUGCUUUUGUGGGGUGCUCGAGUGGCGAACGGGUGAGUAACACGUGAGUAACCUGCCCUUGACUUUGGGAUAACUUCAGGAAACUGGGGCUAAUACCGGGUAGGAGCUCCUGCUGCAUGGUGGGGGUUGGAAAGUUUCGGCGGUUGGGGAUGGACUCGCGGCUUAUCAGCUUGUUGGUGGGGUAGUGGCUUACCAAGGCUUUGACGGGUAGCCGGCCUGAGAGGGUGACCGGCCACAUUGGGACUGAGAUACGGCCCAGACUCCUACGGGAGGCAGCAGUGGGGAAUAUUGCACAAUGGGCGGAAGCCUGAUGCAGCAACGCCGCGUGCGGGAUGACGGCCUUCGGGUUGUAAACCGCUUUCGCCGGUGACGAAGCGUGAGUGACGGUAAUGGGUAAAGAAGCACCGGCUAACUACGUG
rnacentral:rRNA from 1 species